GGAGAACCAGUCAAAAAACCUGGGCACUAAACUGUACUUCACUCCUUAUAUGGCUGAACAGCAUUUCACUGUUUAAAGACACGGAUUUGAAGUCUUUUCUGGAACAGACAAC